UAGGAUUUGGUUUAGGGUUUGAUUUUGGAUUUAGGAUUUUUUUAGGAUAUGGUUUAGAGUUUAGGAUUUGUCUAGGAUUUGAUUUAGGGUUUGAUUUAGGAUCUAAGAUUUCAUCUAAGAUUUGAAUUAGGAUUUAAGGUUUGUCUAAGGUUUUAUUUAAGAUUUGGUUUAGGAUUUAGUAUUUGUCUAGGAUUUGAUUGAAUUCCAUUAGGGUUUUAACUA
rnacentral:lncRNA from 1 species